GGAUGAACGUUGGCGGCGUGCCUAAUACAUGCAAGUCGAACGAAGACUGUAGUAAUACUGUCUUAGUGGCGAACGGGUGAGUAACGCGUGGGUGACCUGCCCCGAAGUGUGGGAUAACAGUUCGAAAGGAUUGCUAAUACUGCAUAAUAUCCAAGAGAUUAGACGCUUUUGGAUUAAAGGAGUAAUUCGCUUCGGGAGGGGCCCGCGUCCCAUCAGCUAGUUGGUAAGGUAAUGGCUUACCAAGGCGAUGACGGGUAGGGGACCUGAGAGGGUGGCCCCCCACAAUGGAACUGAAACACGGUCCAUACACCUACGGGUGGCAGCAGUAGGGAAUAUUAGUAAUGGGCGAAAGCCUGAACUAGCAACGCCGCGUGUGCGAAGAAGGCCUUCGGGUCGUAAAGCACUUUUUGAGAGGAUGAGGAAGGACGGUACUCUCAGAAUAAGUCUCGGCUAACUACGUGCCAGCAGCCGCGGUAACACGUAGGAGGCAAACGUUAUCCGGAUUUACUGGGCGUAAAGCGCGUGUAGGUGGUUUGGUAAGUAGGGCGUGAAAGCUCCUGGCUCAACUGGGAGAGGACGUUCUAAACUGCCAAGCUUGAGGAUGGUAGAGGGAGGUGGAAUUCCGGGUGUAGCGGUGGAAUGCGCAGAUAUCCGGAGGAACACCAGUGGCGAAGGCGGCCUCCUGGACCACUCCUGACACUCAGACGCGAAAGCUAGGGUAGCAAACGGGAUUAGAGACCCCGGUAGUCCUAGCCCUAAACGAUGUAGACUUGGCGUCGGUGGUUUAAUCGCCAUCGGUGUCGUAGCUAACGCGUUAAGUCUACCGCCUGGGGACUACGGCCGCAAGGUUAAAACUCAAAGGAAUUGACGGGUCCCCGCACAAGCAGCGGAGCGUGUGGUUUAAUUCGAAGCAACGCGCAGAACCUUACCAGCCCUUGACAUGGUCACGACCGGUCCAGAGAUGGACUUUCCCUGCAAGGGGCGUGAUGCACAGGUGCUGCAUGGCCGUCGUCAGCUCGUGUCGUGAGAUGUUGGGUUAAGUCCCGCAACGAGCGCAACCCUCGCCUUUAGUUGCCAGCAUGUUUGGGUGGGCACUCUAGAGGAACUGCCGGUGACAAGCCUGAGGAAGGUGGGGAUGACGUCAAGUCCUCAUGGCCCUUACGGGCCGGGCUACACACGUGCUACAAUGGUGGUGACAGAGGGUUAAUCCCUAAAAGCCAUCUCAGUUCAGAUCGGGGUCUGCAACUCGACCCCGUGAAGGCGGAAUCGCUAGUAAUCGUGGAUCAGCAUGCCACGGUGAAUACGUUCCCGGGCCU
rnacentral:rRNA from 1 species